GGCUCAGUGAUUCAAUGGUAAAGCGCUCGUCGCAGGGCCAGAGGGUCCUGGGUUCGAUCCCCAACGAGGUCG
rnacentral:tRNA from 1 species